GGGCAGAGCCGGGGGGCCUUGGUCGGGGGUGGCUACCGCCUGUGCCUGGGGAACGGGGCCUUGACCCUGGUGAAGAAGGCGGGCAGGGGCGGAGACCCGCGGGCUGUCGCUUCUGCCGGCCGGGCCCCCGGGGCCGCCGGUCCUGGGGGUGGCCCGGCCCCUCCCGCCGCCCUGGUCCUGCCCCUGCUCAGCGUCCGGCGCUGCGGACACUCCGACGCCUUCUUCUUCCUGGAGCUCGGCCGCUCGGCCCCCACCGGGCCCGGGGAGCUGUGGCUGCAGGCCCCCGACGCCGUGGUGGCCCGGGGCAUCCACGAGACCGUGCUGGACGCCAUGAAGCGGCUCGGAGGCGGGGCGGCCCCCACCAAGCCCCCUCCUCUGCGCGCCCCGGGGCCGCCCCCCCGCCCCCCCCCCCUCCUCCUCCUCCUCCUCCGAUGAGGGGGCGUCCCCGGAGGACGGGGGGACCCGGGCCUCGGGCUCCUACAUGGCGAUGGGGCGGGGGGCGGAUUACGUGCCCAUGGGGCCCGGUGAGGCGGGGGGCUACAUGGUCAUGGCCCCCCCGGGCGGGUCCCCCCUCUCCCCAUCCUCCCCCGACUACGUGAACACGGGAGGGUCGCCCCGACCCCACGCUCCCUUCCCCUCCUGCUCCCUCCCGCGCUCCUUUAGAGUCGGGGGUCCGGGCCCGGGGGACGCCCCCGAGGGGGAGUACGUGGCCAUCGGCCUCCCGACCUCCGACUACGUCCCAUGGCCCCGGGGAGGGGGGACGGACCCCCAGCCCCGCUCCCGGCCCGGGACCCCGGCCUCAAUUACAUUGACCUGGAUUUGGGGAGGGGGAAGGGCGGGGGAGGGGCCGGGGGACGGACACCUGCCUCUGCCCUUCAGCCUCCUCCUCCUCCUCCUCCUCCUCCUCCUCCUCCGGUCCGGCCCGGGGGGCCGCAGGGGUACGCCCGGAUCGAUUUCCACAGGAGCGGGGAGCGGCCCGGCCGGCGGAGAGACUGCUGAUCUCUCACCGCCUCGCCCCGUGGCAGCCCCAUGCAGAUAAAGUGACCUCGCUUUAUGGAUGGUGGGGGAAUUGUUUCUCAUCUCCUUUCCACCUCUAUGUGCCUUCACCACCCCCCCACAACCAAAGCCCUUCACUCGCUCGGUUGCUGCUGCCCUUCCUAGGAGACUUCCCUCCAAAGUACAAUAGGAGGUGGGGAGGUGGAGACCUCUCCCCCUUCCCCCAACUCACACCUGAGACAGCUUGGCCCUCGGUUUCCCAGCACCUCUGCCUCUAGGGAAGUGGGGGAUUGAAGAUGGAUCACAGCCUGCCCAGCCUUGGAUCCUGGGACUACUUGGAGAAAGUGAUAUUACGCCAUUUUGACGCGUUCCCUCGCCCAUUGUUAGGUAGGGAUUGUCUCCAUCUGUUGUCAAAUUGUACUUUUCAAGCACUUAAGUACAGUGCUCUGCACGGAGUAAGCACUUAAUACAAUUGUACUAAUACCAAAUUCAGCCAUCCUGACCUUAAGUAGAGAAGAGGGCAUCUUGGGGAAAAUCCCCCUCCCUCCUCUCAGUGCCCAGAGAACAUGAACCCUACCCCCACCUGAGUGGGAAGCUGAUAUUUCACAGGUUAAACCUCUCCUCUUUCCUGGGAGAAGCAAGAGGGCCUUGACCUCCUCCAUUGCCCAACCCCAAAAAAAACCAAACCAAAAAACCAACUCAGCAGGGGCAGACUGCAAAAGGAGAUUGCAUCCCCCACUAAUAAACAGUCAACUGGUCAAACUGGAAAUGCCCUGGUGACUAUUGGUAAAGGGAGAGAAGGGGGGGAUGCACAGGAACUGAAGACAGGGAAGUCAUGGGGGACAUAAGGGGAGGGGUCCAUAGGGCUGCCUCCCCCCCACUUCUUUCCACUCUACUCAUUCCCCCUACCGCCCACCUCCUUUGGCCCCACUCAGGAGGACAGCUGCAUUGAUUAAAAAAGAAACUUUAUUGAAUAUCAGUACAAACCACAACAAUUACAAAAAGAGGGUGGGGGAGUGACUGCCUCCCCACUAUAAACAACAUCAUCUACCUUGUGCCCCUAACCUGCACCCCCACUGGCCCUCUGCUUGCAGGGGUGAGGGGAGGUACCCAGGGGAUUAUGCAGACUGGUCACCUCCACUCCGUGUGUCGGUGGGAUCGGGAGAUGAGUGGGAGGUGGUCAAGGAAGGGGAGGUGGUCAGCGGGGGCACCGCCCCGGGCCCGGCCUGACAUCCAGCUCCAGGAGGCCUGUCAGCGCCCGCCAGCUCUGGCCCUGAAAGCCAGGUUGGGGGGCGGGCAGUGGGGGGGUGGGGUGACCCGGCAGGCCAUGAUGGGCGGUGGGGUCCUCAGCCGCAGGGACCCCCGGGGCUGUAGGAGAGACACAGAUGCAGAGGUCAGGGGGUGGCAUGGUUCUCCAAGUCAUCCCAUCCCCAGUUCUGCUUGAGAUCACUCAGUCCUCCACCCUGCCUUCAGGAGGAGGAGGAGGAGGAGGAGGAGGAAUGGGUAGGAAGCAGAAUAUCAGUGCUCCUCUUCCUUGUUUACUAGAUUUGCCCACUCUGAGGGCUUUCCAGAAUCAGGCUUGGGCCUGGCCUGCAAUCUGGUCCUCACCCUCCUACUCCGAACACCCUCCCCACAUCCUCGUAGCCUUUAAGCUCCAUUGUGGGCAGGGAAUGUGUCUUAUCUACUAUUGUACCCUCCCCCAAGUAUUUACUACAGUGCUCUGCACUUGGUAAGUGCUCAAAUACAACUGACAUCAGUAGACCUGUGGAGGAGAGAUGCCACAAGGUCUGCCUGCUCGACACCCUCCCCCCCCCACCCCCUGCCACGUGAAAGCCUUCCCAGCUCAGACAGGAUGAGGCUAAGGGCCUGGCCCCAGGGCAAGGAGGUUGUCUUCCCCCCACCUUGCCCCAUCCCCAGGAUUUGGGGGAGUCCCUGGACACUUGGCCCCAAAAGCCAGAGCAACUGAGGAAACUGUUGGAGGCAGGGGAUGACUCGGUCCUCACUGGGGGGGCUGGUUGACGUGCAGCAUGAUCCUCUGGCCAGGGGGCAGCAGGGGGUCUGACAUGAAGAGUUCAUGGCGCGAGAGAACAGGGAUCCCUGGGGGGGUUGGGGGACAGAGUAGAUGUGGAUGGGGGGUUGGGGGGACAGAGUAGAUGUGGACGGGGGAGCAAGGAGACAGGAAGAGUGGAACCAGGCCUUGCAAAACUUCAACCCCAUCACUGGGGUGGAGGGCAGGGCUUAAGGUGGGAGGCCAAGCCAGGGGUCACCCAUGGGGGUGCAGCUGAGAGGGAGUGUAGGUGAGAGGGGUGUCAACCUCAAGUGUCCAACAUCCCCUCUCACUGGUAUGCUUACCUCCCUCGCCCCCAGGGCCAUGAUGCGGGGGUGCUGGGCCGCAGGCAGGACGAUGACUACCUCUGUCCAUCCUGGGGCCAUGGCUCCCCAAGGCACCCCUGUCCGGAGGCAGCAGCAGCGGGGAACGGGGGUCCAGCAUUUCAUACAGUGGGGCGAAGGAUGGGUGGGGCAGGGUCCGACAGGAAAAGGAACUGCCUUGCCCCAGAGGGGGCACCUGGAGAUAGUUAAAAGACAAAAAAAAAGCCAAACAUGCAACCCUGGCAGCCUCCCUCUAUCCCCCUGUCCCCCCCUAAACCUGGACCCUGUUUCCUCCCUUUCGUCAACUCCCCCCCACCCCAGACUCACCUGCCCCACCACCUUUACCACGUCAUAUUCGGGGUCCCACGGCGCUGGCCGCCUCUCCAAAAUAGAAGCUGCAGGGGAUGGGGGGGGGGGGGAGAAAAAAAGAUGGGGGUGAAGGAGAAAAUUGAGGGACUGGAGAAAGAUGGCUGGGGAAAUUGGGGGGGGGGUGGACUAGUGGUCAUAAGUCAACAGGCAGUGUGGUCUAGUGGCUAGAGCACAGGCCUGGAAGUCAGGAGGACCUGGGAUCUAAUUCUGAGUUCCACCGGUCUGCUGUGUGACCUUGGGCAAACUACUUCUCAUUGCGGGCAGGGAAUGUGCCUGUUAUAUUGCACUCUCCCUAGUACAUAAGCGCUCAAUAAAUAGGAUCGACUCACUGACCUCAUCUGUUAAGUGUGGAUUAAAACUGAGCACUCAGGUGGAACAUGGAUUAUGUCCCAACCUGUUUUAACUUGUAUCUACUCCAGUGCUUCGUGCAGUGCCUAGCACAUAAGCACUUAAACAGCAUGGCCCCGUGCAUAGGCACACCAGGCCUGGGCAUCAAGGAGAUCGUGGGGUUUUAAUCUGCCUGCUUGGGGGACCUUAGGUAAGUCACUUCACUUCUCUGUGUUUCAGUUACCUCACCUGGAAAAUGGCAAUUGAGAACUAAGAGCUCCAGGUGGGACAGGGACCGUGUCCGAUCUGAUUUUCUUGGAUCCACCCUAGCGCUUAAAACAGUGUCUGGCACACAGUAAGCGCUUAAUACUAUUGUUAUUCUUCAGCAAAAAAAUCAAACCAGAGAACUGAGGGUUGGAAGGCACAUCAGUGUCACUUACCAGGCUGGGAGGGAGUCGAUCCCUUCGGGGGCUGGCGGUAUUCAGGAGCCAAGGGGGUGUAGGGGUGGAGACGGACAGUUUGAGGGCUGUGGAGAGAGCAGGGGGAGGUGGGGGCGGGUUAAGGAGAGGUGGACUCCAGACCUCCCCCUCCACCCCCCAGCGAGCCCUCCCACGUUUGCACGGGCUUUGGGGGACACCCACACUGUCCGGGGGGCCUUCUCCGCUCCAAGAGACUUUCAUUCUCCAAGAUCAGCCUUCAUCUUGCUGGUCACAGCGGCCUCGGCGACAGCAGUCUCCAACCUCUUCCAUCUUCACCUUCUUCUCCACCACCUGCUCCAACUUCUCCUCCUCCUGUUUCACCCGCUCCACCUCCAUCUUCUUUGCUUCUUCCACGUGUUCCCCCUCUUCUUCUACCUUUCCCCGCCUGUUCAUCUUCUCUUCUACCCCCUUCCCCGCCUGUUUCCACCUUCUCUUCCUACUUUCUCCUGCCUUCUGCCACCUUCUUCACCUCUUCCACCUCUUUUCCUCCCACCCCUUCCUCCGGCCCAGAGGGCGACCAGGGCAGCAUCCUGAACUUGGGGUGGAGGUGAUGAGGUGGGGGGUGAAGGGGGCGAAGGCUUGAGAGGUGGAAUCUUGGGGGACGCAGGUAACGGCUACCAUCCCCCAACACCCCUCCCCGCUUUUAACCGCCCCCUGGCGACCUCCCUCACCUGGCUUGGCCCUCCAGCCUCGCAGCAGUUGAGGGGGGGGAGGUGGGCCCCACUUUUUAUAAGCGCCCCCGCCCGGGAAGGAGGCGCUAAAAGGGCGGGUCCUGCACGGGAAGGAGGUGCUAAGGGGCGGGGGGCCGGGGCCGCUAACGCUAACACUCACGUUGCGGCUAGAGAGGAGCAGGCCCGAACCCCGGCGAGAGUGCGCCCCUGACGGUGGUUGGGAGGAAAGCGGCCCUUCCGGGGGACUUGGGCGGGGAGGCGGGAGGGAAGGGAAUCAAUCAUCACUUAAUCAAUUAGGGGUAUUUAUUGAGCGCUUGCUGGGAGGGCCAACCUUC
rnacentral:lncRNA from 1 species